UGCAAUGUUUCUUCUACGUGGUGUUUAGAUGAUGACGAAAAGAAGGUAAAAAUUAAAGAAAACCAAACCUCAAGAGCUUUGCUGCAGAUGUUCGUUUCUCUCCGCAAAUGAAUGUGGAAGCCGUGAAAGAAAAGCUGUGGAAGAAAUGUGGGACGUCUGUUAAUGCUACGGCUUUAGAGCUCUAUGAUGAAAGUGGCUCCAAUGUUGCAGCUCUUAGUGAUGAUUCAAGACCUCUCGGUUUCUACUCCCCUUUUGAUGGGUAAAUUGGAGCUAAUUAGACACAAUGUAAACAGUAAACAGAAAAUGUAAGCUUUUUACCCUUGCGUUUAUAUAGAGAUAGUAUAAACAGAAGAGAAUCAAAGCCCGUUUUCUUGAUUCGUUCUUGUUGAUUCCAUCCACAAGUUUUGUAGACCAGCUAGUGCAGAGAGAUUCGUCUUGCUUCCAUAGGCCCAUUAAUACUUGUAAGAAACCUCAAUACUUGCCCGUUAAUAUAGUCCCAAAACUAUGAAGCAAGCUAAUAAUCACCACGCGCUGUAUUAGCGAACUGUCGACUCGACGCUGCUAACUUUUGUUUUGCAAGUUAAAGGAUUUAAUUAACCUUAUCUUGGAUGUUCUGAUAUCGUGUGUAGCGAACUGUCUAGAUAGUCAAUUCGUAUGCAUACUUCUUACAAGUGUUUUCUAGUAUUGGGUUUUGUUGUUGUCGUUUUUUGUCUUGUCUCCAUCACGUAGAGAAAUUUAAGAGAACAUGCAUGUUUCACACUGUAAAGUGUCCCACAAGGCUAAGCGUAUUAUUAUUAUUUUGACUUAAAAAAAGAUUAUUAUAUCCAAAUCAUACCUUUUUGUUUUGUCGUUUUUGCUAGUCCAUACCUUAUUGUUUAGAUUUCGCGUCAGAAAUUUAAAAGGAUCAACACUAAUAUAUAAAGAGUUUGAAAAAUCCAUUUAUUACCAUUUAAUUUUAAAUUAGAGCCAUGUGAAAAAACUCAAAUUCAAUAACUAUAAGAAAUAAUAUGGAUGGAGAGACAUUAAUUUAACAUUUCGAC